rnacentral:rRNA from 1 species
CCUACGGGCGGCAGCAGUGAGGAAUAUUGGGCAAUGGACGCAAGUCUGACCCAGCCAAGUAGCGUGAAGGAUGACGGCCCUAUGGGUGGUAAAUUCCUUUUAUAUGGGGAUAAGCCGUUCCUCGUGUGGACUUUUUUAUUUACGUUAUGUAUAGGAUCAGGAUAACUCCGCGCCAGCAGCCGCGGUGAUACGGAGGGUCCGAGCGUUAUCCGGAUGUAAUUGGUGUAAAGGGAGCGUAGGUGGGGUGGUAAGUCAGUUGUGAAAGUUUGCGGCUCAACCGAACAAUUGCAUUGCAUACUGGCAGGCUGGAGUACAGUAGGGGGGGGCAGAAUUCGAGGUGUAGCGGUGAAAUGCGUAGAUAUCUCGAAGAACUCCGAAUGCGAAGGCAGCUCACUGGAAUGCAACUGACACUGAUGCGCGAAAGUGUGGGUAGCAAACAGGAUUAGAUACCCGAGUAGUC